rnacentral:rRNA from 1 species
UCCCUAAUAUUAAAAAAGAAACUUGUGUUUCGCUCUUAGAAACGUAUAUCUCGUGUAUUGUAGUAGUUAUAGUAAAAGUAUACCUAGCUUAUUAUACGUAGUCGAAACUGGGAGGUUGAUCGAUCACAGUGGACCUGAGCAAAGCCCACGAUGGUAAUCGCAGCAGUGAGGAAUAUUGGUCAAUGGCCUAACGGCUGAACCAGCAACCUGGAAGAAUGUACAGCGAAAGCUGACUGCAUCAAUUAAUAGGUGAUGCAAGCUUGAUAUAGUCAAAUAAAAUUCGGGGUAGUUAAAUGAUAAUGACAUAGCUUACCCAAGUCUUGGUUAAUUUACGUGCCAGCAGCCGCGGUAAUACGUAUAAGGCUAGUGUUAUUCAUUUUUAUUAGGUUUAAAGGGUACGUAGACGGUAAUUAAGCCAAUAUAGGUACUAAUUUACUAGAGUUACACACAAGGGGGUAUUAAAGUACUACAGGUUUAGAGAUGAAAUUCUGUCACACCUCUUUUCAAAAGAAAAAACUAUGGCACAGGUAUUGGUGAAAACAUCCCCUUACGUGAUAACUGACGUUGAAGGACGAAGGCUUUGUGUCGCGAACAGGAUUAGAUACCCUAGUAGUCAAAGGAGAAAAUUAUGAAUGCUCUAGAAUAGACAAAUAUUUUAUUCUAGAAGUGAAAGCGUAAGCAUUCCACCUCAAGAGUAAUUUGGCAACAUUGGAACUGAAAUCAUUAGACCGUUUCUGAAACCAGUAGUGAAGUAUGUUCUUUAAUUUGAUAAUCCACAAAAAACCUUACCACGAUUUGUAUAUUUAUAUUUAUCUUAUCUUUUUGGUAAAAACAUUAAAUAAGGUAUUAUACUUACAAGAGUUGCACGGCUGUCUACAGUUAAUGUCGUGAGAUUUUGGUUAGUUCCUUUAAACUAACGUAAACCCUUAUUUUAUUUUCGUAUAAAGUAGUUCUCCACUAUAUUGGAUGUGAUAA